UACACACCGCCCGUCACACCAUGGGAGUUGGGUUUACCUUAAGACGGUGCGCUAACCCGCAAGGAGAGCAGCCGGCCACGGUAGGCUACAGCGACUGGGGUG
rnacentral:rRNA from 1 species